CGGCGUGCUUAACACAUGCAAGUCGAACGGGGAGUUAAUGCGGAAGCCCUCGGGUGGAAGGAUAAUUCGAGUGGCGGACGGGUGAGUAACGCGUGAGCAACCUGUCCCAGACAGGGGAAUAACACUUGGAAACAGGUGCUAAUACCGCAUAAGACCACGGGGUCGCAUGGCUCUGGGGGUAAAAGGAGUAAUCCGGUUUGGGGUGGGCUCGCGUCCGAUUAGAUAGUUGGUGAGGUAACGGCCCACCAAGUCGACGAUCGGUAGCCGACCUGAGAGGGUGAUCGGCCACAUUGGAACUGAGAGACGGUCCAAACUCCUACGGGAGGCAGCAGUGGGGAAUAUUGGGCAAUGGGCGAAAGCCUGAACCCCCAGCAACGCCGCGUGAGUGAAGAAGGCUUUCGGGUUGUAAAGCUCUGUUAUGAGGGACGAAGGAAGUGACGGUACCUCAUAAGGAAGCCCCGGCUAACUACGUGCCAGCCGCUGC
rnacentral:rRNA from 1 species